rnacentral:rRNA from 1 species
UACGAAGGGGGCUAGCGUUGCUCGGAAUCACUGGGCGUAAAGCGCACGUAGGCGGCUUUCUAAGUCAGGGGUGAAAUCCUGGAGCUCAACUCCAGAACUGCCUUUGAUACUGGAGAGCUCGAGUCCGGAAGAGGUGAGUGGAACUCCGAGUGUAGAGGUGAAAUUCGUAGAUAUUCGUAGGAACACCAGUGGCGAAGGCGACUCGCUGGACUUGUGGUGACGCUGAGACGCGAAAGUGUGGGGAGCAAACAGG